CAAAACACUUCCAGGGAAAGAAACAGCCAGUUGCUGGGUAAGACUCAGGCCAUGUCUGUGAUGAAGAGAUUGCAGCUGAUCUUCUCUCUUUUACACAGUAGGAGUGGUGACUUCUGAGAAUCCAGCCGAAACUCCCCAAUAGGAGACCGCUUGCACUAGCCUUGUGACGUGCUUAUAAGGUCCAGUGCUCACGGUUGGAGAGAGAACAUUUGCUGCGCCUGCAUUAGCCAGUGCUUGGAAGAAUCACCUAGAAACAUCUCUCCUCUGUGCAGAGAAACCCAGGGGAGUGUUGUAGAACUGGGCAGACCAUUCAUUCUGCAGUUGGCCAAAGAUCCAGAAGCAGAGUGGGUGUGUGAGAAACACCAGGAGGAAUUUGCUUUGUUGUCUGAAGAGGGGCCAGAAACUCACCUCUGUGUUCUGCACGGCACACCAAGAAACCAUGUUACAGCUUCCACAGAGACAGCCGCUGAGCAGUGCGAGAGCUAGAAUGAUGGAAUGGUAAUUGCUAGGAUCACUCUUUCACUGAUAAAAAGAAAACCAGCUCCCGAUGUCUCCCUAGCAGUCCAGAAUUUAGAAACACUCUGCAUUAUGCAGACGCCAGAGAUAUAUUGAACGGGUACGUGGCUCCUUCUCACUCCCCCUCAUACUUCACAAAGCAGCCGUGAGGAGGGGAAGGUGCGGGCUGCAAUGGCUCUUUCUCCAAGGCAAAGGACGCCGGAGUUCUCCCUCAACCCCCAAACUCUGAAGCAAUUCAAAGUGAACGUGACUCUGGAUCCAGACACGGCAGGUCCUGAACUCAUCCUCUCUGAGGAUCUGAAAGGUGCCAGAUGGGGAAAACCAAGUCAGAAGAUGCCUGACCGUCCGGAGAGAUUUGACACUGAUCCCUGUGUGUUGGGCUGUGAGGGAUUCACCUCGGGGAGACACUACUGGGAGGUGGAGGUGGAUGGGAUGUUCUGGACUGUGGGUGUGGCCAGAGAGUCUGUGAGGAGGAAGGGACAUAUUGUCUUUCGACCCAACACGGGAGUCUUGGGUUUGCAGAAAUAUGAUCACCUCUGCGUGGCGCUCACCAGCCCUUCCAACACCUAUGUGCCCCUCAAAAAUAACAACAAUGAGAUUGGCGUCUAUCUGGACUAUGAACUGGGGCAAGUGUCAUUUUAUGACCUCAGCAACGAGGAGCUGCUCUUUGCUUUCCAGCCGGUCUCUUUCAAUGGGGAGAGAGUUUUCCCUUACUUUUGUGUAUUUUUGUCCCACAUAAAACUGUCCCCCAGAGGGUGAUGCAUG